UACGAAGGGAGCUAGCGUUGUUCGGAAUUACUGGGCGUAAAGAGCGCGUAGGCGGUUUAACAAGUCAGGCGUGAAAGCCCUGGGCUCAACCCGGGAAUUGCGCUUGAGACUGUUUUUCUAAGAGUACGAGAGAGGUAAGUGGAAUUCCCAGUGUAGCAGUGAAAUGCGUAGAUAUUGGGAGGAACACCAGUGGCGAAGGCGGCUUACUGGCUCGUGACUGACGCUAAGGCGCGAAAGCGUGGGGAGCAAACAGG
rnacentral:rRNA from 1 species